ensembl:misc_RNA Metazoa_SRP Metazoan signal recognition particle RNA
GCCGGGCGCGGUGGCUCACGCCUGUAAUCCCAGCACUUUGGGAGGCUGAGGUGGGUGGAUCACCUGAGGUCAGGAGUAGUUUGAGACCAGCCUGACCAACAUGGUGAAACCCUGUCUCUA